rnacentral:lncRNA from 1 species
GGGACCGAACCCAGGGCCUUGCGCUUCCUAGGUAAGCGCUCUACCACUGAGCUAAAUCCCCAGCCCCAGCACCUCCAUUUCUGAUGGCCUAGUUAUUGGGCAAGCCUUGGGUGGUAUAUGUUCUGGUUUGUUUCCUAUAGAAAGGGUGGGGCAGCCAUCUCUGGACGUGAACACAGCCAAGCAGGGCAACCUCUUCCUUACUUGGCCUAUUUCCAGGGUUCAAUCCCCUUUAUCUCCAUAUCUCCUUUCCUUUGCACCUCCCAACAGGAAUUCAUUAUAUUGGACGAAUGCGGGAGGGCAACAUUGGCCGUUUCAUCUUGGACCAGAUCACCGAAGGGCAACUGGACUGGGCCCCUAUGGCCUCCCCUUUUGACUUGAUGAUACUAGAAGGACCCAAUGGCCGAAAGGAGUUCCCCAUGUACAGUGGGAGGAAAGAAUACAUCCAGGGCCUUAAGGAGAAGUUCCCCAAGGAAGAGGCUGUCAUUGACAAAUACAUGGAGCUGGUUAAGGUAGCGUGCACCAUGGCCAGUAUCCUUAGUUUAUUUCCAACAGGACUGACUUUUCCCUUAGUGAAGUGAUUGGGGUAGGGGGGAGGCUUAGUGGGGGAGGCAGGAAGGAAUAGUCACGUUUGUCCUGGUUCCAGUGUACACUUGUAUACGCCUGUGCCCUGCCUGGCUCCCAGCUGCUAUCCUCACUCUGGCCUCUAGAUGGCAACCUUGGUAAGUCAGGCUUGGAGGAAGUUAGGCGUCCUCUGAGAUGAGCCAGACUUCUUGUUUUGUGUAUUUGAGGUAGAGUCUCACAGCGCUGCCCUGGCUGGUCUGGA